CGGCCAGUGGUGAUGCGGUCUAACGCAUCUCCGUAUCAAGUAGACAGUCGCGGGUUCAAAUCCCGCCUGUUUGG
rnacentral:tRNA from 1 species